GGCUCUGUUCUGGGAACUGGUAUUGGGGGUUGGUCCAAGGGAUAGGGCAGGGUGACCCAAAUGUUCUGCAGCAUAAUGGGAUAGGGGAGUUAAGGAACCCCAGCACCUUUGAAGGCAGUCCUCAGAGGCAGGGUGAGAGCUGCCACAGAAUGGAAACGAGCUCUGGGCAGGCUGUAUCAUGGGCACAGGAAGGGCUGUGUCAGCCCCAUUUGACCAAGACAGACCCAUGAGGAUAGGACUGGCCUUUGUUUCCACCACAAACAAGCAAGAGACACUGUGUACAAAGACAGAGCUUCCUGGUCUUUGCUCUCAACCACAAGUAGGCAGCUGGGCUCCAGGCAGACCACUGAGGCACACAGAGGCCUGGCAUUGAGAAGCCCAGUUCUGAGUCUUUUCUGUCAAUGCACAUAGAGAGACUUCUCAAAUUUUCUGGAAGAGGCAAAGAAUAACAUCCUGUUCGGGCCAUAUCUGGACGUUAAGAGUAUCACUGA
rnacentral:lncRNA from 1 species